ACGGGUGAGUAAUGUCUGGGAAACUGCCUGAUGGAGGGGGAUAACUACUGGAAACGGUAGCUAAUACCGCAUAACGUCGCAAGACCAAAGAGGGGGACCUUCGGGCCUCUUGCCAUCAGAUGUGCCCAGAUGGGAUUAGCUAGUAGGUGGGGUAACGGCUCACCUAGGCGACGAUCCCUAGCUGGUCUGAGAGGAUGACCAGCCACACUGGAACUGAGACACGGUCCAGACUCCUACGGGAGGCAGCAGUGGGGAAUAUUGCACAAUGGGCGCAAGCCUGAUGCAGCCAUGCCGCGUGUGUGAAGAAGGCCUUCGGGUUGUAAAGCACUUUCAGCGGGGAGGAAGGGGGUAAGGUUAAUAACCUUAUUCAUUGACGUUACCCGCAGAAGAAGCACCGGCUAACUCCGUGCCAGCAGCCGCGGUAAUACGGAGGGUGCAAGCGUUAAUCGGAAUUACUGGGCGUAAAGCGCACGCAGGCGGUCUGUCAAGUCGGAUGUGAAAUCCCCGGGCUCAACCUGGGAACUGCAUUCGAAACUGGCAGGCUAGAGUCUUGUAGAGGGGGGUAGAAUUCCAGGUGUAGC
rnacentral:rRNA from 1 species